rnacentral:rRNA from 1 species
GACGAACGCUGGCGGCGUGCUUAACACAUGCAAGUCGAACGCUGAAGCUCAGCUUUUGUUGGGUGGAUGAGUGGCGAACGGGUGAGUAACACGUGAGUAACCUGCCCCCUUCUUUGGGAUAACGCCCGGAAACGGGUGCUAAUACUGGAUAUUCACUGGUCUUCGCAUGGGGGUUGGUGGAAAGGGUUUUUCUGGUGGGGGAUGGGCUCGCGGCCUAUCAGCUUGUUGGUGGGGUGAUGGCCUACCAAGGCUUUGACGGGUAGCCGGCCGGAGAGGGUGACCGGUAACAGUGGGACUGAGAUACGGCCCAGACUCCUACGGGAGGCAGCAGUGGGGAAUAUUGCACAAUGGGCGCAAGCCUGAUGCAGCGACGCCGCGUGAGGGAUGGAGGCCUUCGGGUUGUGAACCUCUUUCGCUCAUGGUCAAGCCGCAACAAUGGUUGUGGUGAGGGUAGUGGGUAAAGAAGCGCCGGCUAACUACGU